CUGCAUUUAUGGAUAGACCUUGAAUCAUCUGUUGUUGCUCUUACAGUGUGCAACAGGAUGUGAAAGAAAAAAAAAAAAUCU
rnacentral:snoRNA from 1 species